AUGAGAUUAUGUAGAGCUGACAUGGAACCUUUUAGCCAAGCCUACUGUCUUGUUAUUAUGUUUUCACACCUCACACUACAGGACAAGGACACUGACAAUAUUCUCAAUCCUUCUUGUGACGCUGGCUACAACACGGGUUUCACUGAUGUGUUCAUUUGGUUAAAUGUCAGAGUGUUUCUUGCUAUGAUUUGGCUCGGCGUCAGUGGAAAGUUGCAGCGAUGUUCCAUCAAUGUUAUGUUAUUUGGGGCAACAGGCUCGUACUGUCACAAUUUGCCACAGCAGGUGCACCCAACAAUAGCUUCUUGGUCAAAUUUAUGA
rnacentral:rRNA from 1 species